GGUUAAUUCGAUGAUACGCGAGGAACCUUACCUGGGCUUAAAUGUAGAGUGCAUUUUUAGAGAUAGAAAUUCCCUUCGGGGCUUUCUGCAAGGUGCUGCAUGGUUGUCGUCAGCUCGUGCCGUGAGGUGUCGGGUUAAGUCCCAUAACGAGCGCAACCCUUAUCGUUAGUUGCCAUCUGGUAAUGCAGGGGACUCUAGCGAAACUGCCACCGUAAGGUGAGAGGAAGUGGGGAUGACGUCAAAUCAGCACGGCCCUUAUGUCCAGGGCUACACACGUGUUACAAUGGUCGGUACAGAGGGCAGCUACCUGGUGACAGGAUGCUAAUCUCGAAAACCGGUCUCAGUUCGGAUCGAAGUCUGCAACUCGACUUCGUGAAGCUGGAUUCGCUAGUAAUCGCGCAUCAGCCAUGGCGCGGUGAAUACGUUCCCGGGCCUU
rnacentral:rRNA from 1 species